ACGUUUCAUCCAGUCAUACGAGAGCGGCCAUCUUGUCCUCGGGAUUUUAUUUGAAAUUUUUCUUUUCUGUUUUUUUCUUCUUCGUCCCUUCUCUUUCUCUCUGUCUAUCUCUGGGUCCUUCUAACAUCGAAAUGCCGCGCUCUCUCUUUCUUUCGUUGCAAUUUCACCCAACAUUUUUUGUUUUGACUUGAUUUUCUUUACAAAAUUUUCAUUUUUUCUUUGCACUGAUUUUUCGUAUACGUAAUCAAAACAAAAGCAGACACAUUCCUCUGUGUCUUUGUCUUUCUUCUAGAUUCAUUCUUUAUACCUGUGGCUAUAUAUUCUGCGAAUGAACGAGCGGGAGUAAUAUACAUAUAGGAAACUGGGCACUCAUUUUUCAAACUAAAUCGAAACGAAACAAUGAAUAAAGCGAAAUGCCAUUGUUCUCAAAUAGAUAUAGGAAAGCCAAAGGUAAUUGGCUGACCUGAUGGCUAUAAUCUUUCUUAUCGCGCUGCUGAUAUCAAUCAUUUCGAUGCAGGGCAACGACAAUAAAGCAACAACAUAUUAGUCUCUCAGACACAAACGCAAAAUUUAGACGAAAGCAGAGCGCAAAAGAAAUAGGAAAAAAUGGAGUCUGCUGACGUGGGAAAUGGGGACCAACGAGAACACUGACUUUAUGAUAUACAGCUCUAAAAUAUGCACUGAUAUGUUGUGCAUAUAGUCUAUAUAGAAAGGAGUUUACGAAAUGCGUUUUACACGUAUACACUGGACAAUACCCAAGUUUGGGGUGAAAUGAAAGAGUUCUUGCUGCCCCCUUUGAUUUGUUUUGGAACUAUACUGCAACAACAAACAACAACAACCACAUUUUCUUCUUCUUCUCCUUUGAUGGCACGUCUUUUUUUCUUUUUUUUCAAGGGAAUGUUUAUGAGUUGUUCCUUUUUGAAGCCAAAGAGUUUGUCGUGUCAUAACAUUUCACAGGUCCAGCAGAAGAAGAAGAAGAAGAAAAAAAGAAUAGAAGAGCAAACAGGGCGGCCCGUCAUCGUCGACAAAAUGUCUACACAACGCACUUGAGCAAGACAUUACGCACGCCCGCACAUGCUCGCACAUGGAGUUCGGACAUUCGAUCACGGCCCCUAAUCCCGUCUCGGACCAAGAUUUUUGUUGUUUUGUUUUGUUUUGUUUUUUUUAUUUUUCGUGAAAUAAACAUAACAAAUAUAA